ACUAACGAGCGCAACCCUUGUCCUUAGUUACCAGCACGUUAUGGUGGGCACUCUAAGGAGACUGCCGGUGACAAACCGGAGGAAGGUGGGGAUGACGUCAAGUCAUCAUGGCCCUUACGGCCUGGGCUACACACGUGCUACAAUGGUCGGUACAAAGGGUUGCCAAGCCGCGAGGUGGAGCUAAUCCCAUAAAACCGAUCGUAGUCCGGAUCGCAGUCUGCAACUCGACUGCGUGAAGUCGGAAUCGCUAGUAAUCGUGAAUCAGAAUGUCACGGUGAAUACGUUCCCGGGCCUU
rnacentral:rRNA from 1 species